rnacentral:lncRNA from 1 species
GUUAAAAAUGGAUUUAUAUUGUUGUUAUCACAAUUGUAUUCUUUUAUCAUUUCCUUUUGUAUAAUCAAUUCUAUUACUAAUAUUGAUGUAUAUUUAUGUACUCUUAUUUAUACUUCAAAAUUAACUUCCAUUAAAUUAUCGAUUAUUAUUGUUAACUUCAGUAAUUAAAACAAACAUAAAUAAAAUGUCAUGGGAAUUGUCUCCAAAGAUAAACAAUGUGAGAGCCGAACUGUGAGAGUGGAGGUUCAACAGGUGUCGGCAAACAUCCAAGUGACAAGAUAUAAAAACGAAUGAAUUAUAGAAGAAUGGAGAAGAACAGAAGAAGGAGAAAAGAAAGAGAAAGAGGAGAAAGUUAGUGAGUGAACGAACAACAAUAACCUAAAUGUAAGUCUUAACAACAGAAAGCAACUCGUUCUGUCAGGGCAGCAAUGGACAUCCAACGGAGACGAUAGACAACAAUGGUGAUGAUAGCUGGGACGGCAGGGAUGAAAAAGACUGCUAUGAUGAUAACUAGAUUAAAUUAAAAGCACUAAGGCAGGAUCUAGUUAAUAAUUUAAUCUAGUUAUUUAAUAUAGUGGCAGUGUAUAGUGUUCAUAGAAUUAGAUAGUGCUAUGAUGAACUGUGUCAAACAUUUCAUGUCAAGUUUGAACAUUUAAUGUUAUAAUUCAAAUGGAUUGUUGAUUCUGAUGAAUUCUCUCUUCCAGGUAUGUGGAAGGCUCGCACACUCUCUCUCUGAAUGGAAAUAACCUGAGCAGUAUAGUUACAUUAGAUUAAGUUAGAGAUUAAUAUAUCCUUAUAAUUAUAAUUUAGAAAUAUUAUAUUCCUUGUCAAUCUCUAUGUUAUUGUAAAAUGCUGUAAAUAACAGCUUUGUGUAUGUUAUUGUUUGUCAAUCAUUCAUUCGUAGAUCCCUGUGAUGCUUGCUCAUGCGCCUGUAUUCGGAAAUUGGCCAAGUGUUCGAGAAACACUUAAAACUUCUAGUGUCAGGACCUGACAAUAGUAUAGUAUUAGCGACCUUACUGUGGGGGUUAUCAAAUGCUAAGAUCCUCCAAAUCGGUGACCUCACAGUUUCCUUCCAACUGUCCAGCUGCGACAUCAAUCCAUUUGUCUCAGGGAAUUUCCUGAGCAAUAAAGUAAUGUUUUAUAUCAGAAAAAAGUCAUUAAUAUUCAGCAUCAUAUUUUGGCAUAGGUAGAGACGGAGCAUUCAUAACAAUAAUUGGUUGGGAGGUUGAAGACAUUUCUGGCUAAGAUGAG